rnacentral:misc_RNA from 1 species
AACGCGAACUGCCCACGGCAGUUUGAUGGAGAACAGCACACACACCACACACACACACACACACACAGACACACACGCACACUUUCACGGACGCGUCUUGACUCAUUCCUUCGCGACUAUACCUACUACUCAUUCGAACUGCUGCGAAAACAAUGGUGGACGCAGUCUCUCGCUACGACGAUGACGAGGAGGACGACGCUCUGCCCUUCGAGGGCCUCGACAAGGCGUCGGCGCUGCAGGAGUGCCGCGUCUUCAACAAGAUCCCGCUGGACGAGGAGGGGUCCAUCCGGGCCAUGACGCAGGUGCUGUACCUCUUGUCUAUUGGCGUGCAGCUGACCGAGGCCGAGGCGACGGACAUCUUCUUUAUGUCCACGAAACUCAUGCAGUCGAACUACGCCAAGCUGCGGCGUCUGCAGUAUAUCCUGAUGAAGGAACUCAGCCCCCUUGUGGAGCAGAGCUUCAUCGCGUCGAACGCGCUCAUGACGGAUAUUAAAAAGAAGGGCGACUCUGACAAGAGCAGCGCCAUCCGCGCGCUAUACGCCAUCAUGGACAGCAGCAUGUACAACUCCAUGGAUCGCACCAUCGUGGAGUGCAUGACGUCGCGCAACCCAAGCGUGGUGACAGCAGCACUAGUGACGGGCAUCCACAUGUCCAACACCCUACCGGAGAUGCCGCGCAAGUGGGCGACGCAGUUGAACGAGGUGAUGCGCGAGCGCUCCAAGGCGCAGUACCCGGCCGUCGCGCUGCUGCACAAGAUACGCAACAACGACCGACUCUCCGUGGAUCGGCUCAUUGAGGAUGCACAGGCCGGCCGCGUCCGCUCAUCGCUCGCCGUCUGCCUCGUCAUCAAGAUGUGCACGGAGCUGAUGCAGGACGACUUCACCAGCUCCCUUGAAAUUUACAAGUUUGUCACCUCGAUGCUGCACCGCAGCGACAUGAUCGCCUUUGAGGCCGCCAAGUCGAUUGCCUCCUUGCGCAACGUGUCCGACAAGGAGCUGACGCCGGUUGUGACGAUGCUCCAGCUGUACCUGAGCUCGCAGAAUCAGGUGCUCCGAUUUGCCGCCGUAUACUUGAUCGGCCGCAUCUCGACCACGCACCCGGCCGCCGUCGCGCCGAUCAACGCGGAGAUCGAGGCGCUCGCGCUGGAUCCGAACCGCGUCAUCGCCACGCUUGCCAUCACGUCCUUGCUGAAGACGGGGACGGAGAGUACCAUUGGGCGAAUGCUGACCCAGCUGUCCUCGGGCAGCUACAUGAGUGAGCUCGGUGACCAGUUGAAGCUGACGAUCGUGGACGCCAUGCGCGUGCUGAACGCGAAGUUCCCGAGCAAGUAUGAGACUCUGCUAGCCUUCCUCUUCCGCGCCCUCAGCGAUGAGGGCAGCAGCGCGCUGAAGCAAAGCGUGGUGGACGCGAUGCUCGACAUCUCCAAGUCCAACCCCAGCUCCAAGGAGGCUGUGCUCACACACCUGGCCGAGUUCAUCGACGACUGCGAGUUCUCGCAGAUCACGAAGCGGGUCUUGAUGCACCUCGGCGAGAGUGUCCCGCACUGCUCCAACCCGCGCCACUUCGUGCGCUACGUGUACAACCACGCGACGCUGGAGAAGCCUGAAGUCCGCGCUGUCGCCGUGACGACACUGGCGAAGAUCGCGGCGAGCGUGCCAUCUCUGCGCCGUUCCAUCGUGGCGCUUCUGAAGCGCUCCUGCAGCGACGGCGACGACGAGGUCCGCGACCGCGCCGUGCUGUACACGAAGCUGUUUCUGCAGAAUGACGAUACGCUUGUACGCACGUACGUGGAAAGUGUCGCGGCGGCAGUGCAGCAUCAACGGCACGCGCUGCGUGAAGCGAACAAGAAGACGUCGGCGGACGGCGUUCUUGGCGGCUCCACUUCGGCGGAUACCAUGGCGGCCAUCGCAGCCGCACCAAACCACAUGGACGCCUCCGGAAUGCCGGCUCCAAUGCCGGCCAUCCUUCAGGGUCGUGAUGCCUUGCACCACGUCAAGCAGCUUCGGGAACUGGGGGAGCCGGCGAGGAGCACGGAGCCGGUUCUCAUUACGGAGGCUGACAACGAGUAUGUUGUGUCUGUCAUGAAGCAUGUGUACCCGGAGCACGUGGUUUUGCAGUUCAAGGUGAAGAACAUGAUGGACAACAUGCUGUUCAAGAACGUGGUUGUGGUCACAAACACAGAGGAGCUGGAGGCGGAGCCGCUCUAUGCCAUUCCCAUCGAGAGCAUCCGCCCAGGGGAGACCCAGUACGGGUACGUGGUGCUGCAGUAUGCACCGGGCAAGUUUCCGAGCGGCACGGUGGAGCCGAUGUUCCGCUUCGCCAUGGCCGAGAGCGAGGACGAGGACGCCGGAGAUCAUGACGAGUACCCGAUGGAGGGCUUUGACGUGGACGUGAGCGAUUUUGUGACGCCGAUAGACUUGGGCGACGGCAUGGAGGACAAGUGGGCAGAGCAGGAGGGCAAUGAGACGGCUGGCACUUUUGCGCUGCACUCGAUGAAGAACCUGACGGAGGCAGCGCAGCAGCUGGCUGACUUCUUUGGGAUGUACAUCGAGGGCGGCGUGCCUGAGAAGAUCACCACAACAUCGCACGUGCUUAAGAUGUCUGGUGUGCUGGCGGACGAGGACCGCACAUUGGUGCUAGUACAGGCGAAGGUGUUCAUUGCAACUGACAACCGCGUAGCACUGCACCUGGCACUGCGCGGCGGGUCGGCAGAUAUUCGCGAGUACUUGGCGAACGUUCUCCUGGGGUAAGUUUGAUCGUGGAUGAAGAGGGAGUGGGGCAGAUCAUGUGCGCUCACUCGUCCCCACGCCUUGCUGCACUCCCCCUUCCUCUUUCUCUGUUUUUUUGUUUUGCCAUUAACCCCACUUCAGUUCUUCCGCGAUGUGCAUCAUCACACCCUCCACGACUCAGUUCUUCCUCUCGUUCUCUGCGUGUGCGCCUGUGGGCUGUUGCCAGCGGCCGCGUCUCCUCCUUCUGUAGCCCUCCCUUUCUCCCUCUUUCUCGUGUCGUUGCCUUUCCUCCUCUCGCCGUUUUCUGUCCAUUUAUUCUUUGAUGCUGGCGUGCGCUUGCUUUUCUUCUGGUCUGUUUUUCGCUCCUUCGCAUGGCCGAUGUUGUCCCUGGUGAUGUCGCGCGGUGCUCCCUCUUCGCCUCCCUCACCCACAUCCUUUGUGCAGCCGUUGUGGUCACCACAUCCGUGAUAGCGUUGGUUCUCCUGCCUGACAAAUAACCCUACCAUGCGGCAUGCGCCCCAUUUCCACCCCCACUUCUGCUUUCUGUUUCGCAUACCGCCCCCCCCCCCCCCCCCCGUCCACACGUGGGUGUGUCUGCGGCCACAUAGUCUUUGCUGAGACCCCGCUCUCGACCACCCACGAAAAAAGAACGGGGGUGCUCCAGCGGGGGUGAGGAGUGGUAGGUGGCGGUGCCGGUGAGACCCAACGGCAUUAUCAGGAGGGUAGGAGAGGAUGGGUCUGAUGCUGUGGUCUGAGUUGGACGUGGCACAGCUCUGCCGAUGAAUACUAGCGAGAGGAGGGGAGAGAGGGCUGUGGAGGGAGGGGAGGGGGAGGAGGUGUCCCCAUCCCCUCCCCCUUUCUGCGCUGUCUGUUUCUCUUGUGCGCCUGGCCAUAUUUUUGUCUGAGUUUCCCCUCUCGCCGUAUCUCGUCUCGCGCGUCAGACUCCUCCCUCGGCGCGUGCAUGCCCUUCCGUUGUUGUUUUUUUUUUGGUUCGACUACCUGAAGUGGGAAAUAGGGAGGUAGAGAGUGCAGCGGUGCCUUCCGUCGCCGGCAUCCUUUCUCUCUCUUGCUGCUCGAGUAUGCCCGAGUGUGCACGCGCGUGCGUGCUUAGGCGGCGGUUGUGGUUAUAUCUAUGCCAGGGUGCGCUGGUGCUGCGAGCGCGUGUGAGUGUGUGUGCGUGUGUUGAACCUGGUGCUGCGCAUGAGGUGUAUGCUCGUGCCCUUUCGUUUUUUGUUUUCGUCGGGAGGAAGAGAGGGGACCAAGUGCGGACUGCGCAUGCUCUCGCAGGAUGAUGAUGCCGGUGUCUGGCUGUCUCGGAACAACCCCCCUCCGAAAAAAAAGCAGAAGAACAGUCGACACACACGAAAGGAAACCGAUCAUAGUGUUACGAUUGAAAGGGUGGGUGGGUGGGGAAACGGACAGGAGGAGUGGGGCGGUUUACAGCACCGUCGUGAAUGGCGGCGAUGAGGUGUUUGGAUGCAUGUAAGUGGGCUCAUGCGAGAUGCGCACACGCAGGUGCGUUUGAUCACGACACUCACCCUUUCAGCGCC